GUCAGCUACGGGUAUUCUUGGGUUAAUAAUGCUUUUUAGAUAUUAUUGCUUGAGAAUACACGUAGCUGCC
rfam:Lingula anatina scaffold216, whole genome shotgun sequence.